CACGUAGGGCGCAAGCGUUGUCCGGAAUUAUUGGGCGUAAAGAGCUCGUAGGCGGUCUGUUGCGUCCGCUGUGAAAACUCGGGGCUUAACCCCGAGCCUGCAGUGGAUACGGGCAGACUAGAGGUAGGUAGGGGAGAAUGGAAUUCCCGGUGUAGCGGUGAAAUGCGCAGAUAUCGGGAGGAAUACCAGUGGCGAAAGCGGCUACCUGGCCCAUUCUUGACGCUGAGGCGCGAAAGCUAGGGGAGCAAACGGG
rnacentral:rRNA from 1 species